CCCUUAGAUGUUCUGGGCUGCACGCGCGCUACACUGAAGCGUUCAACGAGUAUUCACCUUGCCCGGGAGGGUUGGGUAAUCUUUUGAAAACGCUUCGUGAUGGGGAUAGAUUAUUGCAAUUAUUAAUCUUCAACGAGGAAUUCCUAGUAAACGCAAGUCAUCAGCUUGCAUUGAUUACGUCCCUGCCCUUUGUACACACCGCCCGUCGCACCUACCGAUUGAAUGGUCCGGUGAAAUCUCGGGACGGCGGCUUGGCCGCUUGCGUCCGACUGCUGAAACUUGAUUAAACCAUAUCAUUUAGAGGAAGGUGAAGUCGUAACA
rnacentral:rRNA from 1 species